rnacentral:rRNA from 1 species
UGCUCAGUAACACGUUGACAACCUACCCUCAGGACGGGGACAACUACGGGAAACUGUGGCUAAUCCCCGAUAGACGGCGCCGCCUGGAAUGGUCCGUCGUCCAAAGCAAGCUCCGCAUGUGGAGCACGCGCCCGAGGAUGGGUCAGCGGCUGAUUAGGUUGUUGGUGGGGUAACGGCCCACCAAGCCAUCGAUCAGUACCGGCCGUGAAAGCGGGAACCGGGAGAUGGGCACUGAGACAAAGGCCCAGGCCCUACGGGGCGCAGCAAUCGCGAAACCUCUGCAAUCCGGGAAACCGGGACAGGGUCAUCCCUAGUGCCAUGCUAUCGCGUGGCUUUUGCCGACAGUAGGAAUGUCGGAGAAUAAGGGGAGGGCAAGGCUGGUGCCAGCCGCCGCGGUAAAACCAGCUCCUCAAGUGGUCGGGAUGUUUAUUGGGCCUAAAGCAUUCGUAGCCGGCCCUGCAAGUUCCUGGUCAAAUCCAACCGCUCAACGGUUGGGCUGCUGGGAAUACUACAGGGCUUGGGAGCGGGAGAGGCCGAGGGUACUCCUAGGGUAGGGGUGAAAUCCUGUGAUCCUAGGGGGACCACCAGUGGCGAAGGCGCUCGGCUGGAACGCGUCCGACG